AGCUGGCAGGCGCAGUCGCAUUUUCAGUUCCUCUAUCUUGCAGGACUCUGAUGCAGUGUGCUGAUCUCCAAAUGCAUUUGUAAGGAAAUGAUGACACUUGGAAACAUCACUGCAUGAUCUUUACCAAGGCAUCGUGUCGAUACUGAAGCUGGCGAUCAGCUCCAACCUCAAAGAGCAGCUAUGGGUCCACAUGCACAGAGCUGGGGCCUGACAAAGUUUUACAUUGUUUGGGGUCCAGGACUAGUUUCUCUGUCUUACAUCUUUUCUGUGAACUCUUUCCUUGGAGGAUAUCAAAAGUGUGAACAACAACGUUUUGUUCUGUUGACCGUAUUUAAAAGAGGUCUGGACUGGGCAUCUUCAGAGAUGGCUCCCAGUGCCCCCCGACUGACGUCUGUCUUCAUGGAUGAAAUAAAGGUGUUGGUACUGCUACUCCCAUGUCAGCAGGCUUGGCUA